CUUGUAGCCUCCUAGAUCUUCUUGUGAGGUUGUUGUCAAUGUUGUGAUCACAAGGGAUGCAACACUGCCUUAUGAAUAUGAUGGUUUACGAUUUGUCGCCGAUGCUGUCACAAGGUCCAUUGCAUGGCCAUCUAGCAAGGUAAUCACCAACAAUAUGUGUUUUGUCUACUUGGCUCAAAUUGUUUGACGUGUCAUACUGAUUCAUGAUCACUUUGGUAGAUGAAACCCUACAAGCCAGGGGCAUCUUCCUCAUCCCACCACUAAGAUCUCUGAUGGUGGUGGAAAGACAACAUUUGUUUAUUUCAUUGUCGAUAAGAAAACGUUGCUGUCAGGUUGUGUACGGAAGACAAGAGGAACAAGAAGGAACCAUGAAGUUGUCAGUUUGCGUCAACUAGAUAUCUUUUGUAAUGGAGCAAAACCAAUGCAUCUUGUAGCUACCAUUUUGUAAAGGAUAUCUUGUAACGUAGCAAGCAUUGA